CUCAGAAUAUCCAAUCAUCAUCCUAAAAAUGUGUGCCCCUUUUCUCUUCCCUUUCUCUUUUUUUUUAUCUCUUCUUAUUCUUAAUAUUCUCCAAUAAUUGAUUUCCGGGAAACAAACAGAAAACUGAUAAUUUUGCUGGAGACCUGUUGUUGCUGCUGCUAACAGUAUCAAGUUACUGAUACAUCCAAGCAGUAUGGACUCAGCUCAACGUCGCAUUCAAGCCAUUAAUGCUCAUAUUAUUGCCGCCGAUGACUCUCCUUCUCAGCUCCGUCUCAACCACACGGCUGGCGAGUUCUUCUCCGAGCAAGGUUACAGUGUUGUGCU
rnacentral:misc_RNA from 1 species